UGUGGUCUAGUGGGAAAAGGACUACACAUCACUGUGAUCUACAUACAAUGGAACAUUUAUUGUAGAAAUAAUAUGUUGGUUUUGUUAUGAAAAUAUGUUAUUAUUCGUGUAAUCUAGCUGGUCCACUGAUUUCUAAUCAUAAGGUGUGUUUUUAAGAGACAUUGGCAUCAGCCAUAAAAACCUGUAAGAAAUAUAAGACACAUAGAGGGGAGCAGAUAAAAUACUGUUUAACAUUGUGGUGACUACAAACAAAUAAAAAUCACGAGAGGCUAAGUGAGGAAGAUAAAAAACACUGUGCGGACUCGUUGCAAACAAACACUGAAUCCUUGAUGAAGUUUACUUUGUUUUAUUGUCCAAAACUCUGGGUAAAACAUAUUCCAUCAAAGCAGCAUAGCAGACAAUGGCAAUGUCCGAAAUAAAUAAUAAAUAAUAUAAUAAACUGUGUUGUUUCUUUACAAAAAAUACGGCCAACAAAAAAUGUGCUCUCCCUACUCACCCCCUCUCCAUACAGCCGUGCCUAUGCCCAGGUAGAUAUAUACAUUCAUUCAUUACACCACCUAUGCCCUCGUGACAUUGAUGCCAAAUUAGUAA